ensembl:lncRNA
CCCAGUGGCAUGUCACCAGUCUUAAACAGGGUCGUAUUCAUGAAUACACCCAGUGGCAUGUCACCAGUCUUAAACAGGGUCGUAUUCAUGAAUACACCCAGUGGCAUAUCACCAGUCUUAAACAGGGUCGUAUUCAUGAAUACACCCAGUGGCAUGUCACCAGUCUUAAACAGGGUCGUAUUCAUGAAUACACCCAGUGGCAUGUCACCAGUCUUUGACAACAGGGUCGUAUUUAUGAAUACACAAACCUUUCAAAAUGGAACACAAAAAAAUUAUAAUUGGAAAGUCAGGUUGCCUGCUCCCAUUUUAUUCAGUUUUCCUCAGUUUUAGUUUUUAGUAUUUGGGACCCUGGUGUACUGAGCCAUGUCAUAUCUGAAACCCUGCCAUAGUGACAUGUCAUACAAACAGCACUUAGGCACACUGUAUGGUUUAGAUGAAAACACCCAACUCCUCAGGGGGUUGUUGAUGGAGGACAAUGUUAAUAUUAGGCACAGGAGACCCCAGAGGCAAAACGUCUGUAGCCUCUUUAAUAACACACCAUCCUAUAAUCACUAUGACACAGAUCUCUCUUCAGGUUUGUUAAGCGUCCAUUAUUCAGUGCUAAUGCCUUUGACAUUGGUCAUGCCUUUAUCUAAAGUUCUGCUCAAUAAUAAGACUUCAUCUUCAGAGGAUGAGAAUUAUAUUGACAGAUAUAAUUGAAUAAAGCCUUGGAUAGCUAUAACGCCUCAACAUAUUCAGCAUUUACAUAACAAACAUGUAAUAUUCCAUUGUAACAUAGUGCAUGAAACAGGGUUGCCAUUAAAAUACUGUAGUUUUAGCAACUCCUCAUUUUAAAUUUGACUAAAUGAACAAGCCGAGAAGGGCCACAAUGCUCUUUCAAACCAUGUUGCUGCUAAUUUGCUGUGGAGUAAAUUCUAUGUUCAACAUGACAAAUAAUGUCUGUGCCAUAAAAGGAAAACAUGCUUGUGAAAUAAUAUGAUCACUCUUCUCUCAAUGGCAAUUUCUUCCUUCACCAGGAAACACUUCAGCUAUAAGUUUCUAGACCUAGUGAAAAAUGGCCACGUCUCUCCUUAUUCCUAACUGUGCCCUAAUUCUGUCCUUAAUAUUCUCCUCAAAGUAUGUUUGUAUGCAUUAUCAGUCUUUUUACUUGUAAUGUAUUGAACUGUUAGAUAGGAUCAAUUCAGAUAUUUGUCUGUCCUUUACUUUUUCCUGCCUUAAAUGUUUUUCUUUACAUUUUGAAAAGGGAUUUUGUUUCUUAAGAAACCUGCAGUUUUACUUCUUUAAAAGUGAUUAAUAUAACUGAUCAUUUGCUGGAAUGAAAGUGUGAUAAAAUGCCCCUUUGCCCUUUUGAGGACUGCAGUGCCUAGAGACCUCAAGUUAGAGUGACACACACGUCCUCCCUCCUGAGUGCCUGGACAAAGAAAAAGGGAACACCAAGAAACGUAUAGCCCAAUGAGACGGGAGCGGUCUCUGACCAGUGAAAUAGAGCCUAGAUCUAACGGUCUCUGACCAGAGGCCCACCUUUCCAUUUGGCUCUUCACAGUUCAGGAACAUGGCAGACUGUUGUUGAGAAUAUUUACUUGUAAUCAUAUUCAAAUUUCUUGUUUAAUAAAUGAACAAUUAUGAGCUUUAAUACUCAUUUGGAUACUGUUUAAACUUCUCUUUUGAACUAUGUGAUGAUUUUAUUUAUUAAAAAGAGUACCUGCAACCAGUAUUUUUCC